UUUUAAAUAAGCUAAAUUUAAGCUUUUGGGUUCAUACCCCAAAUAUAAAGGAAAUACCUUUUUUAAAAA
rnacentral:tRNA from 1 species